rnacentral:rRNA from 1 species
AGCAGCCGCGGUAAUUCCAGCUCCAAUAGCGUAUAUUAAAGUUGUUGCAGUUAAAAAGCUCGUAGUUGAAUUUCGGGAUCAAUAUAUCGGUCGUGCCUUGGUACGUACUGGUAUCAUUGGUUUCUCCUUUCUGACGAACCAUGAUGUCAUUAAUUUGGUGUUAUGGGAAGUUAGGACUGUUACUUUGAAAAAAUUAGAGUGUUUAAAGCAGGCUUUAGCUUGAAUACAUUAGCAUGGAAUAAUGAAAUAGGACGUUCGAACCUAUUUUGUUGGUUUCUAGGAUCAACGUAAUGAUUAAUAGGGAUAGUUGGGGGCAUUAGUAUUCAAUUGUCAGAGGUGAAAUUCUUGGAUUUAUUGAAGACUAACUACUGCGAAAGCAUUUGCCAAGGAUGUUUUCAUUAAUCAAGAACGAAAGUUAGGGGAUCGAAGACGAUCAGAUACCGUCGUAGUCUUAACCAUAAACUAUGCCGACUAGGGAUCGGAUGAUGUUAAUUUUUAAUGA